rnacentral:rRNA from 1 species
UACGAAGGGGGCUAGCGUUGCUCGGAAUCACUGGGCGUAAAGGGUGCGUAGGCGGGUCUUUAAGUCAGGGGUGAAAUCCUGGAGCUCAACUCCAGAACUGCCUUUGAUACUGAAGAUCUUGAGUUCGGGAGAGGUGAGUGGAGCUGCGAGUGUAGAGGUGAAAUUCGUAGAUAUUCGCAAGAACACCAGUGGCGAAGGCGGCUCACUGGCCCGAUACUGACGCUGAGGCACGAAAGCGAGGGGAGCAAACAGG